GACGAACGCUGGCGGCGUGCUUAACACAUGCAAGUCGAACGGAAAGGCCCUGCUUUUGUGGGGUGCUCGAGUGGCGAACGGGUGAGUAACACGUGAGUAACCUGCCCUUGACUUUGGGAUAACUUCAGGAAACUGGGGCUAAUACCGUAUAGGAGCUCCUGCUGCAUUGUGGGGGCUGGAAAGUUUCGGCGGUUGGGGAUGGACUCGCGGCUUAUCAGCUUGUUGGUGGGGUAGUGGCUUACCAAGGCUUUGACGGGUAGCCGGCCUGAGAGGGUGAACGGCCACAUUGGGACUGAGAUACGGCCCAGACUCCAACGGGAGGCAGCAGUGGGGAAUAUUGCACAAUGGGCGGAAGCCUGAUGCAGCAACGCCGCGUGCGGGAUGACGGCCUUCGGGUUGUAAAACGCUUUCGCCUGUGACGAAGCGUGAGUGACGGUAAUGGGUAAAGAAGCACCGGCUAACUACGUG
rnacentral:rRNA from 1 species